rnacentral:rRNA from 1 species
UACGAAGGUGGCAAGCGUUGUUCGGAUUUACUGGGCGUACAGGGAGCGUAGGCGGUUGGGUAAGCCCUCCGUGAAAUCUCCGGGCCUAACCCGGAAAGUGCGGAGGGGACUGCUCGGCUAGAGGAUGGGAGAGGAGCGCGGAAUUCCCGGUGUAGCGGUGAAAUGCGUAGAUAUCGGAAGGAACAUCAGUGGCGAAAGCGACUUCCUGGACCAGCACUGACACUGAGGAGCGAAAGCCAGGGGAGCAAACGGG